ACUAAAGUAGUUUAAUUUUAAACAUUAAUUUGUGGUAUUAAAAUUAUCAGUUAAACUCUGAUCUAUAGUC
rnacentral:tRNA from 1 species